CGUCUUUGUUUGUGCAAAUAUUGUUUUAUUUGUCAUACUCUUAUACAUUGAAGUUACAUUUUGUCCUACAGACUGAUGGCCAAAGAAGAUUGGGGAAGUUCCACUAUGUUCCUACAGACUGUUGGCCAAAAAAGAUUGGGGGAAAAUAGCUCUGGAGAAGGAUUGAGAUGAAAAUGGGAUUGGGAUCUCACUUCGCAAUGCAUUGAAGAAUCAUGAUAAUUUAUACAGCCUGUUCUUUCUUUAGUACCAAUGAAUAACUUGGUUACACAAUAUACUUGAAGAUUGCAUUAGGAACAAAAUGCUUAGCAGACCAAACUAAUUAGUUUUCUGGAGACAGACUACUCUUGCAUCAUUAUGUGCAACCCACAUGUAUCUCACUCGGCGAGACAUGCACAACUAUGCCACAUCUUUACAUGUAAGUUUGUUUUGCUUAGCCAUGGACAGUGAGGUCCCCCUUCUCUUCAUUCCCAGUUCAUUUAUUUAAUAUCAAUAUCUUUACUCUAGGAUUUAUGUCCUUGCCAACUCUACAAUUGUUCAUUGCACACUCAGAGUCUAGAUAUUGAAUUAGCUACUUUUGCGAUCCCUGGACUAUACGAGUCAAGUAUUUCUGGAUUGCCCAUUUUUCAGCUGAGUUAAGGCUUUUUCUAUUGUUUGCAAAUGAAAAUUAUUUGAUGUACCCCUGGUAUGAUACAAGAAGAGUUUGCUCUUUCCCUUUGUAAAAUUUUCUGCACACGAUGUUGUCGAGGAUGAUUUCAGAAUUUAUAUGCUCAUUGCUUCCAUUGCUUCUUUCCCCAUUAACUGAUAUUAGACAGUGGUCUAUAAAUGUUGCACCUAACUCUGUUUUCCAAGGAAAUACGAAUGAAGUUAUAGUACUUGCAAACUGCGACUCUUCGCUGAACAAGAAAAGUAAAAAUGAUAACAUAUCAGGCAGUAAAAUUACAUGGCUGAUCUCUGUUUUGUGCAUGUCAGGUGAGCAUUAUGAGUUGUUCUACUUCCCUUAAGAGAGUGUACUUUCCUCUCAUCAGAUGCUCACUCUGGAAUUAACAAAUUUUUUGUGAUGUAACCUGUUCUUAGUUUUGAUGCCUUACCGUCUGCCUUCUCCUCUCCUUUAUGUUGUUUUUUGUAAAUUAUUUGUCUAGGCUACUACCAUAACUUGUUGGUUUAGUUUAGGUGUGUAGGAAGAAUUUGCAGAUGAAUCACGCUAUCAGGUUUAGGCGUGCACAUGGCCACUAAUAAUAAUAAAAAUUGAUAUUUGAUGAAGCCAUCAUCAUGUCAUGUAAUUACUUGCAGAACAACUAUAUUGUUUUUUGGGGCGGUAAAGCGGAAACGAUAGGACUCUGCAACUCAUGUGAGUGUUGUUUGAUUAUUUACUUUUUCAAGCGUGUGGAUGUCGUUGGCAUGUUUAGUAUACGCACGAAGAUAUGCAAAGUGUAAAAGUGGUUUCCUGGGAACGUCAUAUUUUUUUCUCCUGGGAACGAAUGAACUGUUCGUCAGGGAGCGAUCACCCCACCGAACGUUUUUGUUCGAUCUGGGGGAGGAGCUGGAGCGAACGAUUCACCCCAGGCCCCCAUGCAAACAGUUGCCCAUGCAGGCAAAAACAGAACCCUGAUUGGGCCUUUACGACCUCCAAUUAGGCCAAAAAAUGGCCCAGUUUUUUGUGACGCCUCAACACUUGGGUCAUCACUCGAGGUUAUCGCUUUUGAGUUUCAGGUGAUAUUUUUUUAAUUGAUUUUUGGGAAAUCAUGAUGCUAAAUAUAUGGAUUGUGUCAGUUAGCUAAUCUAUUGGCUCUUUGAUGUGUAUGAUGACAUGAUGGCAAUGAAAAUACAUUUUCGAACUGAAAGUAUUUGUGUAGUUUAAUUUUGACAGAGUAUAGGAGCAUACUCAAUGUCUUCCGCUUUGUGUAUGAUGGCGGCUUUUCUUGCUUAUAGUAAUCAGCUAAAUAAAUAUGUGGGCAUUUAAAAAUAUCUUUGCAAUUAGGCCAGGCGUGAGAAAAAAAAUUCAAAGACGACGAUCUCUUUUGGUGUAUUUCUAUUCUCCCUGUUCCAAAUCUUUUUGUUUGGAUGCCACCGGCACACCACAUGUUGUUCUGAAGAUAUCAUGCUAUGGGACUUUUCAGCAGAAUCAAAACAAAAGGAAGCUAUGGUGUUACUUGCAUCUCAGUUUUCACAUUCUUCUCAGGUUUCACAAAAACAUAAACAUGAUUGGAUGGGCGUCCUUGCCGGCGACCUCGCUAUCUCCAACCCAUCCACAGGUAUUGCAGCUCCUUCUCAUCCAAUUUAUUCACUUUUCGUCCUCUUUGCUGUGAUUUGGUGGUUGAAAUUAAUUCGUCUGGAUAGGGAGGAGCAAUUCACUAAUCAUUUACACCAUGUAUACUUCAUUUUAUUUCAUGUAUAAUCUGUAUAAGAAAGAAAAGUGGGGUAGCUCCUCCGUUUCAGUGCUUUAGCCUGAAAAAUAUUGAGUUUCCCUUCAGAUAAUUUGAGUGAUGUUGAUAUGAUAGUUAAUCAUAUAACCUCCAUUUCAUGUAUAA